rnacentral:rRNA from 1 species
UACGUAGGCAGCGAGCGUUGUUCGGAAUUACUGGGCGUAAAGAGUGUGUAGGCGGCGCUCUAAGUUCGGUGUGAAAUCUCCUGGCUUAACUGGGAGGGUGCGCCGGAAACUGGAGUGCUCGAACGUGGGAGAGGAAAGCGGAAUUCCUGGUGUAGCGGUGAAAUGCGUAGAUAUCAGGAGGAACACCUGCGGUGUAGACGGCUUUCUGGACCAUUGUUGACGCUGAGACACGAAAGCGUGGGUAGCAAACAGG